rnacentral:rRNA from 1 species
AUUGAACGCUGGCGGCAUACCUUACACAUGCAAGUCGAACGGUAACAGGUCUUCGGAUGCUGACGAGUGGCGAGCGGGUGAGUAAUACAUCGGAACGUGCCCGAUCGUGGGGGAUAACGAAGCGAAAGCUUUGCUAAUACCGCAUAAGAUCUACGGAUGAAAGCAGGGGACCGCAAGGCCUUGCGCGAACGGAGCGGCCGAUGGCAGAUUAGGUAGUUGGUGGGAUAAAAGCUUACCAAGCCGACGAUCUGUAGCUGGUCUGAGAGGACGACCAGCCACACUGGGACUGGGACACGGCCCAGACUCCUACGGGAGGCAGCAGUGGGGAAUUUUGGACAAUGGGCGAAAGCCUGAUCCAGCCAUGCCGCGUGCAGGAUGAAGGCCUUCGGGUUGUAAACUGCUUUUGUACGGAACGAAAAGACUCUUUCUAAUAAAGAGGGUCCAUGACGGUACCGUAAGAAUAAGCACCGGCUAACUACGUGCCAGCCGCCGCCGUAACAC